CCGACCUUAGCUCAGUUGGUAGAGCGGAGGACUGUAGUUGAAGCAGAAAAAUCUUUCGGUCAUUGGUUUGAAUCCAGUAGGUCGGA
rfam:Arabis alpina cultivar Pajares Aa.chr2_contig_1240, whole genome shotgun sequence.